rnacentral:rRNA from 1 species
GGUUCCGGGCACGGAGCGCAACCCUUAUCCUUUGUUGCCAGCACGUAAUGGUGGGAACUCAAAGGAGACUGCCGGUGAUAAACCGGAGGAAGGUGGGGAUGACGUCAAGUCAUCAUGGCCCUUACGAGUAGGGCUACACACGUGCUACAAUGGCAGAUACAAAGAGAAGCGACCUCGCGAGAGCAAGCGGAACUCAUAAAGUCUGUCGUAGUCCGGAUUGGAGUCUGCAACUCGACUCCAUGAAGUCGGAAUCGCUAGUAAUCGUAGAUCAGAAUGCUACGGUGAAUACGUUCCCGGGCCUUGUACACACCGCCCGUAA